rnacentral:rRNA from 1 species
GGUUAAGCGACUAAGCGUACACGGUGGAUGCCCUGGCAGUCAGAGGCGAUGAAGGACGUGCUAAUCUGCGAUAAGCGUCGGUGAGGUGAUAUGAACCGUUAUAACCGGCGAUUUCCGAAUGGGGAAACCCAGUGUGUUUCGACACACUAUCAUUAACUGAAUCCAUAGGUUAAUGAGGCGAACCGGGGGAACUGAAACAUCUAAGUACCCCGAGGAAAAGAAAUCAACCGAGAUUCCCCCAGUAGCGGCGAGCGAACGGGGAGGAGCCCAGAGCCUGAAUCAGUGUGUGUGUUAGUGGAAGCGUCUGGAAAGGCGCGCGAUACAGGGUGACAGCCCCGUACACAAAAAUGCACAUAUUGUGAGCUCGAUGAGUAGGGCGGGACACGUGGUAUCCUGUCUGAAUAUGGGGGGACCAUCCUCCAAGGCUAAAUACUCCUGACUGACCGAUAGUGAACCAGUACCGUGAGGGAAAGGCGAAAAGAACCCCGGCGAGGGGAGUGAAAAAGAACCUGAAACCGUGUACGUACAAGCAGUGGGAGCCUCUUAAUGGGGUGACUGCGUACCUUUUGUAUAAUGGGUCAGCGACUUAUAUUCUGUAGCAAGGUUAACCGAAUAGGGGAGCCGAAGGGAAACCGAGUCUUAACUGGGCGUUAAGUUGCAGGGUAUAGACCCGAAACCCGGUGAUCUAGCCAUGGGCAGGUUGAAGGUUGGGUAACACUAACUGGAGGACCGAACCGACUAAUGUUGAAAAAUUAGCGGAUGACUUGUGGCUGGGGGUGAAAGGCCAAUCAAACCGGGAGAUAGCUGGUUCUCCCCGAAAGCUAUUUAGGUAGCGCCUCGUGAAUUCAUCUCCGGGGGUAGAGCACUGUUUCGGCAAGGGGGUCAUCCCGACUUACCAACCCGAUGCAAACUGCGAAUACCGGAGAAUGUUAUCACGGGAGACACACGGCGGGUGCUAACGUCCGUCGUGAAGAGGGAAACAACCCAGACCGCCAGCUAAGGUCCCAAAGUCAUGGUUAAGUGGGAAACGAUGUGGGAAGGCCCAGACAGCCAGGAUGUUGGCUUAGAAGCAGCCAUCAUUUAAAGAAAGCGUAAUAGCUCACUGGUCGAGUCGGCCUGCGCGGAAGAUGUAACGGGGCUAAACCAUGCACCGAAGCUGCGGCAGCGACACUAUGUGUUGUUGGGUAGGGGAGCGUUCUGUAAGCCUGUGAAGGUGGCCUGUGAGGGUUGCUGGAGGUAUCAGAAGUGCGAAUGCUGACAUAAGUAACGAUAAAGCGGGUGAAAAGCCCGCUCGCCGGAAGACCAAGGGUUCCUGUCCAACGUUAAUCGGGGCAGGGUGAGUCGACCCCUAAGGCGAGGCCGAAAGGCGUAGUCGAUGGGAAACAGGUUAAUAUUCCUGUACUUGGUGUUACUGCGAAGGGGGGACGGAGAAGGCUAUGUUGGCCGGGCGACGGUUGUCCCGGUUUAAGCGUGUAGGCUGGUUUUCCAGGCAAAUCCGGAAAACCAAGGCUGAGGCGUGAUGACGAGGCACUACGGUGCUGAAGCAACAAAUGCCCUGCUUCCAGGAAAAGCCUCUAAGCAUCAGGUAACAUCAAAUCGUACCCCAAACCGACACAGGUGGUCAGGUAGAGAAUACCAAGGCGCUUGAGAGAACUCGGGUGAAGGAACUAGGCAAAAUGGUGCCGUAACUUCGGGAGAAGGCACGCUGAUAUGUAGGUGAAGCGACUUGCUCGUGGAGCUGAAAUCAGUCGAAGAUACCAGCUGGCUGCAACUGUUUAUUAAAAACACAGCACUGUGCAAACACGAAAGUGGACGUAUACGGUGUGACGCCUGCCCGGUGCCGGAAGGUUAAUUGAUGGGGUUAGCGGUAACGCGAAGCUCUUGAUCGAAGCCCCGGUAAACGGCGGCCGUAACUAUAACGGUCCUAAGGUAGCGAAAUUCCUUGUCGGGUAAGUUCCGACCUGCACGAAUGGCGUAAUGAUGGCCAGGCUGUCUCCACCCGAGACUCAGUGAAAUUGAACUCGCUGUGAAGAUGCAGUGUACCCGCGGCAAGACGGAAAGACCCCGUGAACCUUUACUAUAGCUUGACACUGAACAUUGAGCCUUGAUGUGUAGGAUAGGUGGGAGGCUUUGAAGUGUGGACGCCAGUCUGCAUGGAGCCGACCUUGAAAUACCACCCUUUAAUGUUUGAUGUUCUAACGUGGGCCCCUAAUCGGGGUUGCGGACAGUGUCUGGUGGGUAGUUUGACUGGGGCGGUCUCCUCCUAAAGAGUAACGGAGGAGCACGAAGGUUGGCUAAUCCUGGUCGGACAUCAGGAGGUUAGUGCAAUGGCAUAAGCCAGCUUGACUGCGAGCGUGACGGCGCGAGCAGGUGCGAAAGCAGGUCAUAGUGAUCCGGUGGUUCUGAAUGGAAGGGCCAUCGCUCAACGGAUAAAAGGUACUCCGGGGAUAACAGGCUGAUACCGCCCAAGAGUUCAUAUCGACGGCGGUGUUUGGCACCUCGAUGUCGGCUCAUCACAUCCUGGGGCUGAAGUAGGUCCCAAGGGUAUGGCUGUUCGCCAUUUAAAGUGGUACGCGAGCUGGGUUUAGAACGUCGUGAGACAGUUCGGUCCCUAUCUGCCGUGGGCGCUGGAGAACUGAGGGGGGCUGCUCCUAGUACGAGAGGACCGGAGUGGACGCAUCACUGGUGUUCGGGUUGUCAUGCCAAUGGCACUGCCCGGUAGCUAAAUGCGGAAGAGAUAAGUGCUGAAAGCAUCUAAGCACGAAACUUGCCCCGAGAUGAGUUCUCCCUGAGACUUAGAGUCUCCUGAAGGAACGUUGAAGACGACGACGUUGAUAGGCCGGGUGUGUAAGCGCAGCGAUGCGUUGAGCUAACCGGUACUAAUGAACCGUGAGGCUUAACCUU